rnacentral:rRNA from 1 species
UACGGGGGGGGCAAGCGUUGUUCGGAAUUACUGGGCGUAAAGGGCUCGUAGGCGGCCAACUAAGUCAUACGUGAAAUCCCUCGGCUUAACCGGGGAACUGCGUCUGAUACUGGAUGGCUUGAGUUCGGGAGAGGGAUGCGGAAUUCCAGGUGUAGCGGUGAAAUGCGUAGAUAUGGGGAGGAACACCGGUGGCGAAGGCGGCCACCUGGACGGUAACUGACGCUGAGACGCGAAAGCGUGGGGAGCAAACAGG